UGGGGAAUAUUGGACAAUGGGCGAAAGCCUGAUCCAGCAAUGCCGCGUGAGUGAUGAAGGCCUUAGGGUUGUAAAGCUCUUUUACCCGGGAUGAUAAUGACAGUACCGGGAGAAUAAGCUCCGGCUAACUCCGUGCCAGCAGCCGCGGUAAUACGGAGGGAGCUAGCGUUAUUCGGAAUUACUGGGCGUAAAGCGCACGUAGGCGGCUUUGUAAGUAAGAGGUGAAAGCCCAGAGCUCAACUCUGGAAUUGCCUUUUAGACUGCAUCGCUUGAAUCAUGGAGAGGUCAGUGGAAUUCCGAGUGUAGAGGUGAAAUUCGUAGAUAUUCGGAAGAACACCAGUGGCGAAGGCGGCUGACUGGACAUGUAUUGACGCUGAGGUGCGAAAGCGUGGGGAGCAAACA
rnacentral:rRNA from 1 species